UAGGCGACUGUCUCAGAUCUCUGGAGGUCUGCUUUAAGGCUGGUUUUUCUGCAAUCAAGGAAAGAAGGUUUCAAGGCGACUGUCUCAGAUCUCUGGAAGUUGGUCUGCCCUAAGGCUGGUUUUUCUGCAAGCAAGGAAAGAAGGCUUCAGGGCGACUGUCUCAGAUCUUGGAGGACUCCCUGCAGUCAGCCAGCUGUUUGUCUUAACACUGCUUGAACACAGAAGAGAGGGGAGAACUGCACCACAUCUGUGAAGAUCACCUGCAGUGGCCGCUUGGUGGUGCUGAGGUUGCCGCUGACCAGUGCAAUCAACAGGUGACAACAAAGUUCUGCAGCUAGACAGUGGUGAUGGCUGCAACAACCUUGAGAAUUUACUUAUGUCACUGAAUUGUACAGUUUAAAUUGAUUACAAUGCCUAGUAUUUUUUUAGCCUGCACAAAAAAUAAGCUCCAAAUGGACCAAAGACUCUAAUGUGAAGUCAGAAACACCGAAACUUAAAGAAGUAGAAAAUAUGGAACACAUACACAAUGGAAUUUUAUUCAUCUGU
rnacentral:lncRNA from 1 species